CAGUCGCCACGGUAAUACAGAGGGUGCGAGCGUUAAUCGGAUUUACUGGGCGUAAAGCGUGCGUAGGCGGCUUCUUAAGUCGGAUGUGAAAUCCCUGAGCUUAACUUAGGAAUUGCAUUCGAUACUGGGAAGCUAGAGUAUGGGAGAGGAUGGUAGAAUUCCAGGUGUAGCGGUGAAAUGCGUAGAGAUCUGGAGGAAUACCGAUGGCGAAGGCAGCCAUCUGGCCUAAUACUGACGCUGAGGUACGAAAGCAUGGGGAGCAAACAGGAUUAGAGACCCCCGUAGCCCUGUCUCUUAUACA
rnacentral:rRNA from 1 species